UACAGAGGGCGCGAGCGUUGUCCGGAAUUAUUGGGCGUAAAGAGCUCGUAGGCGGUUUGUCGCGUCUGCUGUGAAAACCUAAGGCUCAACCUUGGGCUUGCAGUGGGUACGGGCAGACUAGAGUGCGGUAGGGGUGACUGGAAUUCCUGGUGUAGCGGUGAAAUGCGCAGAUAUCAGGAGGAACACCGGUGGCGAAGGCGGGACUCUGGGCCGAUGACUGACGCUGAGGAGCGAAAGCGUGGGGAGCAAACAGG
rnacentral:rRNA from 1 species